rnacentral:rRNA from 1 species
AGUGAACGCUGGCGGUAGGCCUAACACAUGCAAGUCGAACGGUAGCACAGUAAGAGCUUGCUCUUACGGGUGGCGAGUGGCGGACGGGUGAGGAAUACAUCGGAAUCUACUUUUUCGUGGGGGAUAACGUAGGGAAACUUACGCUAAUACCGCAUACGACCUACGGGUGAAAGCAGGGGAUCUUCGGACCUUGCGCGAUUGAAUGAGCCGAUGUCGGAUUAGCUAGUUGGCGGGGUAAAGGCCCACCAAGGCGACGAUCCGUAGCUGGUCUGAGAGGAUGAUCAGCCACACUGGAACUGAGACACGGUCCAGACUCCUACGGGAGGCAGCAGUGGGGAAUAUUGGACAAUGGGCGCAAGCCUGAUCCAGCCAUACCGCGUGGGUGAAGAAGGCCUUCGGGUUGUAAAGCCCUUUUGUUGGGAAAGAGAAGCAGCAGGUUAAUACCCCGCUGUUCUGACGGUACCCAAAGAAUAAGCACCGGCUAACUUCGUG